rnacentral:tRNA from 1 species
GCACCCGUAGCUCAAUUGGAUAGAGCAUCUGGCUUCGAACCAGAAGGCUGGGGGUCCGAGUCCCUCCGGGUGCACCA